AUUGAACGCUGGCGGCAUGCCUUACACAUGCAAGUCGAACGGUAACAGGGAGCUUGCUCCGCUGACGAGUGGCGAACGGGUGAGUAAUGUAUCGGAACGUACCUUUCAGUGGGGGAUAACGUAGCGAAAGUUACGCUAAUACCGCAUAUUCUGUGAGCAGGAAAGCAGGGGAUCGCAAGACCUUGCGCUGAUUGAGCGGCCGAUAUCAGAUUAGCUAGUUGGUGAGGUAAAGGCUCACCAAGGCGACGAUCUGUAGCGGGUCUGAGAGGAUGAUCCGCCACACUGGAACUGAGACACGGUCCAGACUCCUACGGGAGGCAGCAGUGGGGAAUUUUGGACAAUGGGGGCAACCCUGAUCCAGCCAUGCCGCGUGAGUGAAGAAGGCCUCGG
rnacentral:rRNA from 1 species